AUUCAUCGAGUGACCUCACCGUUGGUCUUGAGAGGCAGCUGGAGCGUUUUGAGCAGCAAGUAAAGAUUUUAAAGGAAGUGCUCUCAGCCAAUGGGAGUUCAGAGAGGGUGGAGCUGCUGAGGCACUUGUUCUGUUCCUCCUUGAUAAGAGCUGCAGACCAAACAUGAACAGCAGGAAAGUGAUCUUACAAAAAUAUUUCAGGCAGAGGAAGAGAUCCUUAAGGCCAAACUUCAGCAAUUAGCGGCUGAGCUGCAAGCCUACAACGAUUUGAAGACGAGAGUCGAAGAUUCAACCUUAAAAAAGAAUUUGCAAAGAAAUAUUCAGGAACAUGGGAGCCCAGGUGCAUACUGGGAGGCUGAGCAGGAGUCUUUGCUAUUUGGGAUUGAGAUGAAGGGUGAGCGUGUGCAGGAGCAAAGCAGGAAGCUGGAGCGGAUGGAUGAACUGGCAGUUUUCAAAGGAGCAGCAGGACCUGAAGGUGGCCCUAGAGAGACAGAUGGCAGUAAACUAGAAUCUUUCUCAGGAAAAAGAGCAGCUGAUGUUCAAACUGUAAGACAGAGAUUCGUGUCCAGGGAUUCACCUGCCCCCCAUGAUGGAGGAGAUGGACCCCUGAUGAUCCUGAUCACACACAAGUCUCAAAGCGUGACUCUGAAUUAUCUGACCUGGUUUACUGCUCGGGUCGUGAGACUCAGACUGAGCUGACAAACAUCUGGGAUCCGGUUUAAAGUCUUUGGAGCAGCACCGCAACAGAUCAGGGCAGGAUGUUAAAAAUGGGACACAAUUGGUCCGUCUGGCUGAAUCUCUAUGCAGUGUGCUGUCACACAAACUAGUAGAUUUGAGACUGUGAGCACAUUCUGCUUAGAGCUGUACAGCUCUUUUUUUCUUGUUUUUUUUUUUUUACGGAAUAAGUGCUGUUAUUUACAGAUUUAUUUCACAGUAAUCACUU